AUUGAACGCUGGCGGCAUGCCUUACACAUGCAAGUCGAACGGCAGCGCGGACUUCGGUCUGGCGGCGAGUGGCGAACGGGUGAGUAAUACAUCGGAACGUACCCUGUUGUGGGGGAUAACUAGUCGAAAGAUUAGCUAAUACCGCAUACGACCUGAGGGUGAAAGUGGGGGACCGCAAGGCCUCACGCAGCAGGAGCGGCCGAUGUCUGAUUAGCUAGUUGGUGGGGUAAAGGCCCACCAAGGCGACGAUCAGUAGCUGGUCUGAGAGGACGAUCAGCCACACUGGGACUGAGACACGGCCCAGACUCCUACGGGAGGCAGCAGUGGGGAAUGUUGGACAAUGGGGGCAACCCUGAUCCAGCAAUGCCGCGUGUGUGAAGAAGGCCUUCGGGUUGUAAAGCACUUUUGUCCGGAAAGAAAUCGCGCUGGUUAAUACCUGGCGUGGAUGACGGUACCGGAAGAAUAAGCACCGGCUAACUACGCG
rnacentral:rRNA from 1 species